rnacentral:misc_RNA from 1 species
AAGUCGUAACAAGGUUUCCGUAGGUGAACCUGCGGAAGGAUCAUUACCGAGUUCAUGCCCUUCGGGGUAGAUCUCACACCCUUUGUAUACUAUACCUUUGUUGCUUUGGCGGGCCGCCUAGCUACUGGCUUCGGCUGGUAAGUGCCCGCCAGAGAACCCAAAACCCUGAAUUAUUAGUGUCGUCUGAGUAAAAUAUUUAAUAUUUAAAACUUUCAACAACGGAUCUCUUGGCUCUG